rnacentral:piRNA from 1 species
UCUGACGCCUCGGGAGCAGCUGCAUG